rnacentral:rRNA from 1 species
GACGAACGCUGGCGGCGUGCUUAACACAUGCAAGUCGAACGGAAAGGCCCUGCUUGCAGGGUGCUCGAGUGGCGAACGGGUGAGUAACACGUGGGUGAUCUGCCCCUUACUUUGGGAUAAGCCUGGGAAACUGGGUCUAGUACUGGAUAGGACCAUGCUGUAGGUGGUGUGGUGGAAAGAUUAGUUUCGGUAAGGGAUGAGCUCGCGGCCUAUCAGCUUGUUGGUGGGGUAAUGGCCUACCAAGGCGUCGACGGGUAGCCGGCCUGAGAGGGUGGACGGCCACAUUGGGACUGAGAUACGGCCCAGACUCCUACGGGAGGCAGCAGUGGGGAAUAUUGCACAAUGGGCGCAAGCCUGACGCAGCGACGCCGCGUGGGGGAUGACGGCCUUCGGGUUGUAAACUCCUUUCAGCCAUGACGAAGCCCUUGUGGUGACGGUAGUGGUAGAAGAAGCACCGGCUAACUACGUG